AUUUUAGUGCGGAAGUGGAUGCGCGGGAAAGGAACAAACGUGAAAAUGGCUACUCCGAAAACUGUUCCUAAAGAUGCACAGGUUAUGAUUCAAAUCCUCAAAGACAUGGGGAUAACAGAGUAUGAGCCCAGAGUGAUUAAUCAAAUGCUGGAAUUUACCUACAGAUAUGUGACAACCAUUAUCGAGGAUGCCAAAAUCUAUGCAACACAUGCUAAGAAGAACAAUGUGGAUGCUGACGAUAUAAGACUGGCGAUUCAGAGUCGCAUGGACCAGUCCUUCACCUCCCCACCACCACGAGAUUUCCUGCUGGAGGUAGCUAGGCAGAAGAACCAGACCCCGCUGCCUUUGAUUAAGCCAUACACUGGGCCCCGCCUGCCCCCAGACCGUUACUGUCUAACAGCUCCUAACUACAGGCUCAAAUCCAUACAGAAAAAGAUGUCCUCAUCCGCGGGGAGAAUUACAGUGCCUCGUCUCAGUGUAGCAGCUGUAUCCAGCAGGUCCAGCACACCUACCUUUGGCACUCCCUCAGUUCAGUCAGUCACUACCAAAGUGGGGACGCCAAUGUCUCUGUCGGGGCAGCGCUUCACCGUUCAGAUCCCAUCCUCACAGACUGUAGCCUCCAAGUCCUGCUUCCAUGUCUUCUCCAUGGAUGACCUCAAUGUCCACCUCUUGAACAUCAGACUCUGAGGCCUCAUCUUCACUGUCACUUUCCAACCUGGUUGAGGAUGGCUCGUUGUCAGGCUCAAAAAGCCUCAAAUUUGCCCGGAUGGCCACCAAUUUUUCAACCCUGUUCAUUCCGUAACGUGCUUUGGUGUGUGUGUUCCCAUACAAGGACCAGUUGCUCUCUGAGGCAGCUUAAUGUUGGUGGGAUUUGGAAAAUGGAGGCAACAGGGAAAGAGCCUCAGAUCCACAAAGUCUCUUCCAUCAGGUGGCUGAUGAGAUGUUGCCACGACUGCCAUAUUGCAUUUCCAUCCCAAAGCCCUUGCUUGGAAGUGUACUUUGCAGACUGCCAAGAACCUUGCCCUCAUCCAAGCCAAGGUGGCGAGACACGGUAGUGAUGAUACCACAGGCCUUGUUGAUCUCUACACCAGACAGGAUGCUCUUGCCAGCAUACUUGGGGUCCAACAUCCACACCAUCCACCCCAACGGUUCAAAACGUCCUAAUCAAUCCCUCCCUGAUCGGCUCUAAGAACAUCCUCAUCACCACCAACAUGGU